AUAAUUUAGACAGAGUAGACAGAGACAGUGUUUCUAUGGAGAUCUUUAUUUAAUUACAUUUCCUUUAAAUCAAGACCAGGAACACGUUCCAGAAACUGAUAAAAGACCAUUGGUAUUGGAGCGUAGUGAGUUGGGGGAGAAAGAAGAGUGAAAAAAAUUAUGUUGGAAAAACCAGAGAAGUGAACAGGUUAUGCUAGGAAGGCAUUUGGACCCUGACUCCCCAAAAGAUUCCCUGUUCUAGUUGGCCUUCUAUAUUGGUGGUUUCUGAAUACAUACCCCAAAGAACCUGAGCAUCAGUGAAUUCUGGUAUCUUCUGGGAGCCCUGGAACUAAUCUCUUGAAGAUACCAACGGAUGACUGUGUUUUAAAAGGCGAGAGAGAGAUGUCACUCAGGACUGCUUCCGAAGGAGUUUCCCUUGAAGCUUGCUUCACUGUCUGACUCCUUUCAUACAAGUGGGUAACAUGCCCUUCAUUCAGAACCAAACCUGUGCCCUGGCUUGGUAUAUUUCCUCCACCUGCUGAGCAUCCUCUCACCCUCUACUUUUACCUGGAAGAAAGAAGACAAUAAUAUCUACCAAUCAAGAUGCUGUACCUGAAGCAGAAGAUAACCUGGCAAAGAAAAGAGUAUAGUGCUGCCUUCAGGGAACUCCUAGUCUAGGGGAAGACAGCCAAUAAUCACAUAACUGCUCUAAUCAAAUAUUUCACCAAAAUAAAGUAUUAGCCACCUCCUAGAAUCCAGGCUCUGUUGUAAGUGCUGAGGAUACGGCAAUGAACAUAAAUGCCUAAACUCUGCAGUGUUGGUGCUCACAUUCUUGUAAAUAAAUACACAAUUGUCCCUGCAUGGAGGCCAGGCACUCUAGAAUAUUAGGGGACCUUGUUCUCACAUGGUGGCAUCCCUGGAUAGAUGACACAACUGGCUUUUCUGAUGCUGUUUCAUACUUUGGCCCAGAAUCCGGCAACAUUUUCUGUCAUGAUAAGACAGAGGUUAUGUAGAAAAGGAAACAGACUCACUUUGUAUCUCUUACAGGUUGUGAUCUGGCCAAAAAAUAAUAGCUGUGCCUAUAGCCCUAAGGUGCUGCUUUCUGGAAGCGCCAGAAUUCUGGUUCCUUUUCCUUGGUAUUCCUGCCCUCCUGCUAGUUGACUACAUUUAUAAGAGAAAAGAAUACCAAGAAAUUAGGCAGAACACGUGGAGUGUGUGUCUGUGAAGUGUGUGCCUGUAUAUGUUAGUGGGGCAUCCAGAAGAACGUGGGUGGUGUGUAUGUGUGUGUGUGUGUGUGUGUGUGUGUGUGUGUGUGUGUGUUUGGGGUGGUUGCUGGAAUAUUACUACACUGCAUUCUGAGUGCACAAAGGCAGCAAAAACCCUAGUAGUAUAUUUAGGAGGAAAUCAAUUUUUUCCAUUGUUCAAAAUGUCCAGUUCUGAUUCUCUCCAACUGAGUUGAUAGGCCAGGGGGAAAAGCGGCCAAGGUGAAGCAGAAGUGAGUUAGUAAAUACCCACCAGGAAUAGCAAUUGGCCUGCAGUUGUAGAAAAGCUUCUUCCAAAUACAGAUCUAGGGUGCAGACUAUUACCUAUAUGAACAGACAGCCUGUCUUGUGAUAUGUUUUUUUGAGAAAUUAAGUACUCUGAUACAUUCAAAGUAACACACACACCCUGAGAUUAUCUCAGCUUUAUCCAUGUUCUAGACCCUUGGUUGGCUCUCCGGCAUUCCAGCUGCAGCUGCUGGGGCUGGCUGCAGGCACGUCUGACUGUUCUCCCCUUUGGAGUAGACAGGGUUGUUCUGGCUGUCCCAUGCAUUGCCUUUCAAUAAAGAAU
rnacentral:lncRNA from 1 species